rnacentral:rRNA from 1 species
CCUACGGGGGACAGCAGUGAGGAAUAUUGGUCAAUGGACGCAAGUCUGAACCAGCCAUGCCGCGUGCAGGAAGACGGCUCUAUGAGUUGUAAACUGCUUUUGUACGAGGGUAAACGCAGAUACGCGUAUCUGUCUGAAAGUAUCGUACGAAUAAGGAUCGGCUAACUCCGUGCCAGCAGCCGCGGUAAUACGGAGGAUUCAAGCGUUAUCCGGAUUUAUUGGGUUUAAAGGGUGCGUAGGCGGUCGGAUAAGUUAGAGGUGAAAUCCCGAGGCUCAACUUCGGAAUUGCCUCUGAUACUGUUCGGCGAGAGAGUAGUUGCGGUAGGCGGAAUGUAUGGUGUAGCGGUGAAAUGCUUAGAGAUCAUACAGAACACCGAUUGCGAAGGCAGCUUACCAAGCUACUUCUGACGUUGAGGCACGAAAGCGUGGGGAGCAAACAGGAUUAGAUACCCCAGUAGUC